rnacentral:rRNA from 1 species
UACGUAGGGGGCAAGCGUUGUCCGGAAUUAUUGGGCGUAAAGAGCGUGUAGGCGGCCCGGUAAGUCCGCUGUGAAAGUCGGGGGCUCAACCCUCGGAUGCCGGUGGAUACUGUCGGGCUCGAGUACGGAAGAGGCGAGUGGAAUUCCUGGUGUAGCGGUGAAAUGCGCAGAUAUCAGGAGGAACACCGAUUACGAAGGCAGCUCGCUGGGACGUGACUGACGCUGAGACGCGAAAGCGUGGGGAGCAAACAGG